AUACGUAGGGAGCGAGCGUUGUCCGGAAUUACUGGGUGUAAAGGGAGCGUAGGCGGGACUGCAAGUCAGAUGUGAAAUACCGGGGCUUAACCCCGGAGCUGCAUUUGAAACUGUGGUUCUUGAGUGAAGUAGAGGCAAGCGGAAUUCCUGGGGUAGCGGUGAAAUGCGUAGAUAUCAGGAGGAACACCGGUGGCGAAGGCGGCUUGCUGGGCUUUUACUGACGCUGAGGCUCGAAAGCGUGGGUAGCAAACAGGAUUAGAUACCCUGGUAGUCCACGCUGUAAACGAUGAUUACUAGGUGUGGGGGGACUGACCCCUUCCGUGCCGCAGUUAACACAAUAAGUAAUCCACCUGGGGAGUACGGCCGCAAGGUUGAAACUCAAAUGAAUUGGCGGGG
rnacentral:rRNA from 1 species